CCGUAGGUGAACCUGCGGAGGGAUCAUUACCGAGUUUACAACUCCCAAACCCCUGUGAACAUACCUAUCGUUGCUUCGGCGGGACCGCCCCGGCGCCCUCGGGCCCGGACCCAGGCGCCCGCCGAGGACCCCAAACUCUUGUAUUUUUGAGAAUCAUCUGAGUAAACAAGCAAAUAAAUCAAAACUUUCAACAACGGAUCUCUUGGUUCUGGCAUCGAUGAAGAACGCAGCGAAAUGCGAUAAGUAAUGUGAAUUGCAGAAUUCCGUGAAUCAUCGAAUCUUUGAACGCACAUUGCGCCCGCCAGUACUCUGGCGGGCAUGCCUGUCCGAGCGUCAUUUCAACCCUCGAGCCCCCGGGCUUGGUGUUGGGGAUCGGCCCGCCCCCGCGGCGGGCCGUCCCCCAAAUCUAGUGGCGGUCUCGCUGCAGCCUCCCCUGCGUAGUAGCAACACCUCGCAACGGGAACUCAGCGCGGCCACGCCGUUAAACCCCCCACUUCUGAAGGUUGACCUCGGAUCAGGUAGGAAUACCCGCUGAACUUAAGCAUAUCAAUAAGCGGAGG
rnacentral:rRNA from 1 species